AUUGAACGCUGGCGGCAUGCUUUACACAUGCAAGUCGAACGGUAACAGGCCGCAAGGUGCUGACGAGUGGCGAACGGGUGAGUAAUGCAUCGGAACGUGCCCAGUCGUGGGGGAUAACGCAGCGAAAGCUGCGCUAAUACCGCAUACGAUCUAUGGAUGAAAGCGGGGGACCGUAAGGCCUCGCGCGAUUGGAGCGGCCGAUGUCAGAUUAGGUAGUUGGUGGGGUAAAGGCUCACCAAGCCAACGAUCUGUAGCUGGUCUGAGAGGACGACCAGCAACACUGGGACUGAGACACGGCGCCGACUCCGACGGGAGGCAGCAGUGGGGAAUUUUGGACAAUGGGCGCAAGCCUGAUCCAGCAAUGCCGCGUGCAGGAAGAAGGCCUUCGGGUGGUAAACUGCUUUUGUACGGAACGAAACGGUCCUGGUUAAUACCUGGGGCUAAUGACGGUACCGUAAGAAUAAGCACCGGCUAACUACGUGCCAGCCGCCGCCGCAGUAA
rnacentral:rRNA from 1 species